rnacentral:rRNA from 1 species
UUUACCAACAUAGCCGGCUGCCAAAACUAUUAUUGUAUAGCCGGUGAAGCCUGCUCACUGAUUUCAAAUAGAUAGAUCAAUAGAAGUUAAAGAGCCGCGGUAACUCUGACCGUGCUAAGGUAGCAUAAUCAAUCGCCAUUUAAUUGAUGGCUGGAAUGAAGGGUUAAACGAGUUUUUCCCUGUCUCAGCUACAGAAUAAGUGAAAUUGAGUGAUUUGUUAAGACUCAAAUCAACUUUGAUAAGACGAGAAGACCCCGUUGAGCUUUACUUGAUCUUUUCUUAUCCAGGACCUUAGAGCAGUAAAGGUCUUAAAUAGAAAGGGGAUAGUUUGGUUGGGGCGACCACCCAAAUAGACGAAACUUGGGUACACAAAGGUUUUUGCAAUAGAAAAAGCUUUACUAGUAGAUGGAUAUGUCAGCUAGUUAAUAAAAGAAAUAAGUUAUAGGGACCCGCCUCCUUGUGGAGGCGAUAAUAGAUAAAAGUUACCACGGGGAUAACAGGGUUAUUCAAUCCUAGAGUUCAUAUCGAAGAUUGAGUUUGCCACCUCGAUGUUG